CGCUGAUUCUGCACAUGAUGAAAACGACGGUUCCCACUAGAUAUUGCAGCCACAGGCAUCAUUGGCUACAAAAUGUUCUUUUUGGUAAUCAUUUAAGGGAAGGGUUACACGUAAAAUAAGUUUUUAAUAACAUAAAUUGUAGAAAUAGCGGAGUUUAGCAACAAUUAUGACUUUGUGACUGUGUUAAUCAUUCAUCAGCGGUGUUACAUUAGUGACGAAAACAACCCAGACGUUAGCUAGCAACCCGCGUUAUCGAACAAGUAAAAAUGUCUAACAUACAUUUGUUGAGGGUUUUUGUCAACGAGAGAUUAACAUAUGCUGCCGAGGAGAUAUUCGGGGUCGUUGAAAAAACUAUAGUAGAGUAUCAGGAGGAAGUUGUCCGUCUACAAAGGCUGCUCGACAUAGUUCUUAAACCUGAGAUAAAGCUACGCAGGGCAGGUGUGUUACUCGACCUCUCUGUCUCUGAAGUGGAGGUCCCCCCUGAUCUGCAAGAGUGGAACACCAGUCUGAGGCAGGAGGACCCACAGCCCACACAUAUCAAAGAGGAACCGAAUGAAAUCGGGACCAGUCGGAACGAAGAGCAGCUUCAAGGGCUUGAGGCAGAUACCAUAGACUCCACUUUCACUCCAGCCUAUGUGAAAUGUGACUGUGAUGAGUACCCAACUCACCCCUCACAUCUCUAUCAAACCCAAAAGGAAGAAAACGGAGAGAGAGACACUCUACCCAGUACUACAUCUGAACUGAUCGAAACACAACUUGACCGAGAGAACUAUGUAGAAUCAGAACCAACCAGUGUCUCUCAGACAUUCUCUGAAGCAAAUCCAGACUGUUUUGCAGCUCAGAGUGAAAACAGUAAAAGUGUCAGUGGCAUGGAGAAGGGAGGACCUGCGAGAGGUUUUAAGCCCGUCAAAUCAAAGAGAAAAAAUAUGGUAAAAGGGCAAAACUCCAGUAUCACUACUAUGGGCAGCACAUCCACACAGUUGUCCCAUCUGAAAUCACACAGGCAAAGUUUUGCUUCUCCCUGUUGUUGCAAGUGUCCACAGGAGCUGAAACAAUCCUAUACACACCGAUUUAUCAUAUCUAUGGGCUUGAUGUCAGUUUCCACUUCAUGAGGGAAAGUAUAUUUUUAUUGUAUUUUUUACAUGUUUUGACCAGCAAUUGGCUACUCACAUCUCUAACUCAAUAAUCAAGUUUGCUGAUGACACAACAGUGGUAGGCCUGACUACCAACAAUGACGAGACAGCCUACAGGGAGGAGGUAAGAGCCCUGGCGGAGUGGUUCUAGGAAAAUUGGUAUGACAGGCUCAGGUAGCCUCAUUCAGGUGAAUGAACCCCCCAAAACAUUUUUUUUAUUCAGAGAUCGUACAUUUUAUCUACUAACUUUCCCAGAAUAAAUGUUGCUGACAUGUUUAUUGUCUAAAUACAUGGCUCUGCCUGCACUUUCCUCUGACAGUGUUCAUUACACAGUUAUGAAACAUCUGAGACAUCGACAUGUUUGACAGUUAUCUGAUCAACAAUCCAUACAGCGUUCUGUGCAUCUAAAGAUCAACGAAGGCCCAUCAAGCUGCAUUUCACUGAGUUUCUCACAUUGAUAAUGAUUAUGACUGUAAUAGUUUUAUAUCAUGUUCUCCUGUAUUGUUGACUCUGUUUCACAUUGGUAUGAUUAUGACUGUAAUAGUUUUAUAUGCUCUCCUGUAUUGUUGACUGUAUGUUUCUGAAGGAAUCAAGGAGGAUGUGUUUUACCAGGAGGAUUUUUCAACGGGUGCCCUCUCAUCUGAUAAGUCCAACUGACCCGGUCGCAGGCCACUCCAUAAGGCAAAAAGCCUCCUUUUGAAGUCUAUGUUGUGUCAAUAGCCACCACCACCAUAACCUGCCUCUCCACCUCCACAACCACUCAGCUAUGACCACAACUACAACAUCAGAUAAGACACAAGCAGAGAUGGUGGCUGAAGAUGAGAAAUAGUGUUGGACAGAGAUGUCUUCAUUGAGAAACUAAUCCAUCAGAACAAAGAGACAUGGGUACUGAGUGAUGAUGCAACAAAGAGUCAUGGGUACUGAGUGAUGAUGCAACAACGAGACAUGGGUACUGAGUGAUGAUGCAACAAAGAGACAUGGGUACUGAGUGAUGAUGCAACAAAGAGUCAUGGGUACUGAGUGAUGAUGCAACAAAGAGACAUGGGUACUGAGUGAUGAUGCAACAAAGAGACAUGGGUACUGAGUGAUGAUGCAACAAAGAGUCAUGGGUACUGAGUGAUGAUGCAACAAAGAGACAUGGGUACUGAGUGAUGAUGCAACAAAGAGUCAUGGGUACUGAGUGAUGAUGCAACAAAGAGACAUGGGUACUGAGUGAUGAUGCAACAAAGAGACAUGGGUACUGAGUGAUGAUGCAACAAAGAGACAUGGGUACUGAGUGAUGAUGCAACAAAGAGUCAUGGGUACUGAGUGAUGAUGCAACAAAGAGACAUGGGUACUGAGUGAUGAUGCAACAAAGAGACAUGGGUACUGAGUGAUGAUGCAACAAAGAGACAUGGGUACUGAGUGAUUAUGCAACAAAGAGUCAUGGGUACUGAGUGAUGAUGCAACAAAGAGACAUGGGUACUGAGUGAUGAUGCAACAAAGAGACAUGGGUACUGAGUGAUGAUGCAACAAAGAGACAUGGGUACUGAGUGAUGAUGGAACAAAGUUAAACAUGUGCCUCAGUUGAAUAGAAAACUAAAACUAUAUAAAGGAGGCUUCCGGGGGAGGACGGCUCAUAAAAAUGUCUGGAAUGGAGUAAAUGGAAUGGUAUCAAACACAUGGAAACCAUGUAUUUGAUGAGUUAAAUUACCAUUCCAUUAAAUCCAUUCCAGCCAUUACUAUGAACCUGUCCUCCCAAUUAAGGUGCUACAAACCUUCUGUGGUACUGAGUGAUGAUGGAACAAUGUAAAGCAUGUGCCUCAGUUUAU